rnacentral:misc_RNA from 1 species
CUCAACCCGUGCACACGGCUAACGGUGCAAGCAGCCCUUCCCUUCAGGUACUUCAGGAUCCUGUCGUCCCCAGCACUACCAGGUCCUCCGAAGACCACCCUCUUCUUUGCUUCUUCCAUCCCGCACACUUGACCAUACUUCAGAGCUCACUCAAGCGCCUGGAACACACACAGUCCACUCAUAUUUCUCUUGCUCUUUUCUCUCCCCUGUUCUUCAGUACGACUAUGUCCAGAAGCCAGCAGAUCAACGAUAGCGCCGCCGAGGCCAUGCGCCGCGCCGACGACGCGGCUGCGGAGUCCCCGAGGGAGGGGCCCCAUCCUGAAUCUGGCGCGACUCAGCAGCAGCAGCAGGAAGAGGCCGCCGCCGAGGCCAUGCGCCGCGCGGAUGUGGCCUACACGAUGGAUGAUGAUGAUAUGUAGAGCAGAAGGAGAGAGAGCGUGAGGUGGUGGUGACGGUGUUCGUGGGCGGCGGCGACGGAUUACUCGGGCUGGACAAUCAUGAAGAGUGGCUCGAACACUCACACACGCACCCGGACUCCCCCUACCGCCGAGGGUUCUCCAAGCACCUCCCGCUCUCUGUCCCUCUACCUCAUUCACGUGGGCCUCUCUCCUUACUUCCGCCUUCUGCACUCUGCUGGACAGCACUUGUAUUCCACUUAUGUCAAGGGAUGCGACUUCACUGGACAUGAGCUGACGACGACGACGGUGGUGGGGAGGGGGGGGGGCGAUGGGUAACAUCGUACGUCCCAGUUGCAGUACGACGUCAUGCGUAUAUGUACCAACGUAUAGUUGUGACUUCCAUUAUUUUCUUCCUCUUAUUAUCAAUGCUCCGUAUUUGUGAUCUUUAUCUGCUUCGGGCUUUUUACUGAUCCUCUCCUUCCACGCCUCUGUGUAUCGGUGUCUGUGCGUGGGCCUCCUCUGCUGCGCCUCUCCUUCUUUCCUUCCUUUCUUCCUCUUUCUUUUUCGUUCUCAUGCCGACAGGAACGUCCCCGCCCCUCCCCUCGACCCAAGCCCCAGCGCGCAGAUGAAAGUGAUCGUAAGAGGAGGAUAGAAGGAUGCGCUCAAACCACAUGCAACGGUGUGCGCCUCUUCAGGGACAUGUCUGCACUCACGUCCAUACGCACAUGCGCAGGCACAGACCACCACCAUCACAAGC